CCGGCCGGAGGCGCCCCCGGGGCCCCAGUACCCGCCGAUCCUGCUGGAGAGCGAACCUGCGGACACCCGCGAGGGUCGCAGGGACCUCCGGGACUUCGGCGUGAGGUUUCCGCUGCCUGAGGCCAUCGGGAAGGGACGCCCGCCUCCCGGGCCGCGCGCACUUUGGGGGUUCGGGUCUUGAGGACAGCCCCGCUCCGGCUCCUGAACCCAGCGACCAGAAUGGUUUUUCCUUCGACCCCAGCCGGAUUACAGCGAAGGUGCCCACUCAGCCGGGUGCGCGCCCUCGGAGGGACGCGGGUGCGGGGCUUGACUCAGGGGAAACCGCCCACAUCUGGUGACAACCGUGGCAGGGACGCGGCCGCUUACCCGGCUGGCGGGACCCCAGCAGCGGGCAGGCCUGCCUCCGCUGCCCAGGUGGAGCCCCUCAGGCCAGGCGGCCCCAGGGCCCGUGCUGGGCGGGGCCGGUCGUCCCUGCUCCUCCCUGCAGGUGGCCGCAGCUCCCUGGGUGGCAACGGCAGCGGCGGUGGCCUUUUGGGGGCCUUCACCAGCAUGGCACGCAGCCAGUCGUAUGCAGCAGGGGUGAGCUGUGGGCUCUUAGCCGGCAGAGCCACGUAUGGCAGUGUCCCCAGUCACAGGCCGCGCGCGGGUCAGCAGGGCUGACGGCCUAGGACUGCCUGCUGCCUGCUGCACCACCUCCGGGUGCUCCCCCGGCCCGGCCCUCCCUGACCUCUCACGGCCUCCGCACCCCGACUGCGGCCUCCUGCGCAGCCGCCCUGGCAGGCCAGGCAUCGGUGAGAUGGAGCAGGAGGAAAAGGAGGACCAGGAGAGCUUGUCCGGGGCUGACAACUCUGAGGACGAGAAGGAUCUGCAGGCCCCCCGACCCCUACCAGCCAGACAAGGAUAUUCGUUGAAACAUGUACAGAUGAAAUAAGAUGCUUCAAAACAAUAUGGUGGCGAGAAGAAUGAAAGUAUUGCUAAAACAAGAAUCCUAUCCUCCAUCCUGGCACUUGCCCCCUACAAUGCAGGAAAAGCCAAUCCAGCUGGACCACUAACCAGGAAAAGCAAGCGUGCAAGAGUGAAGGCACUUGCUCCAAAGCCUGGGACAAUUGAACUGGACUUCCCUUACCUUUCUGGCACUAGGAAUGACAAGCCACCAACAAGUGUUUAAAAAUGUCAGCUACCUUCCAGGAACAAGCCCUGAUAUUUUUUCCUCAAGCCUUAUAGAAAGAAAUUAGAAAAACCACUCUCAGUGCUUCCCAUGGGACAGAGGGCUACCACAGCACAAUGACAGCUCCAUCUUCUGGGGCAGACAUUCUUACAAUACCUUUGACCUUGACCAAUCCAAAAUUGAAAGGGAACUGUGUACAUUCUCCAGCCAACAAAUCUAAUUACAUAAUUCAUAGAUAAUGAUAAAAUUUCUGCAUCCUUUUCAGCAUUUAUAUUCCUUAUUUUAUGUUCUUAUCUAAUUGCAUUAGCUGGUACUUCCAGAAUAGCAUUAUAACAUUAAGUAAUUAGGGAUAAGUAGGCACCAUUGUUUAAUUCCUGUAUUUAUUAGAUAUGCUGCUAAAAUUUAAA